rnacentral:tRNA from 1 species
ACCUGGGUGGCUUAGUCGGUUGAGCACCUGACUUUGGCUCAGGUCAUGAUCUCGUGGUUCGUGAGUUCGAGCCCCACAUCGGGCU